rnacentral:lncRNA from 10 species
AUCCUAGAAAAGAGGCCGCUCAGGAUGGGGAUGAGACUUCCACUGCUCCGGGCCCGAUGCAUCCCCUCACGUUAUCGAGGCCUGCACAGACCCAAAGUGGAACCGCCGCGAAGACGAUGGACAGCUGGCCGCAGGACCCAGGGAGAGACGCAGAAAGAGGCUCACCAAAGACCGGUCCACAUAAAAGACAUCCCUUUUUGACGCACAGGGCACAUUCGUCCAAAGACACACACACACACACACACACACACACACACACACACACACACACACACAGAGGGAAAGAAGCACACAGAGGGUGAGAGACAGAGAGAGAAAGGGAGAAUGGGAGACACAGCCCCACACACAGUCCUACCGCGGUGGCCGAGAAAUGCACGCCCCCGGACUCCGCCUGUGGUUUCCUCAUCCUGCUCGGCCCCUUGUGACUCCUGGCAGCCGGAGACGUUCCUGUGGACCCCGUGGAGAGGUCAGGCCGGAGCCUCGGAGGCCCGACACCCAGGCGCCGCCACGGAGGGCUCCCGCGUUGCCAAGCCUCGGGGACUGGUUCCUAAGACAACCGUGGGAAGCACUGUGAAGCAAAAAGCGGCGCGCGCCUCGCGCAUGCGCUUUGGCUGGGCCGACUCGCGCUUGGCUCCUGGCAGUCAGGCAGGCUGCGUCCCCUUUAAAUACGGGCGGCUGCGCGGCGGCAGGGGGCGCGCCUGCUGCAGCCGCGGCUGCGGCUGGAUCCGGGGUCCAGUUUGGGGCCGCGUGGGAGAGGGGGCCACGGGUGUCCCAGGGCCGAGCCCCCAGGAGUCCCGUCUUCAGGACCUCCUUGAGCCGACUUCCACCGAUGGACGGGGAGCUUCAGGGCGCCUGCUGGGUUCUCAGGACUCCUCUUCAGAUGCGAUUUUGGACCACUCUGGGCGAGAAAGGAUGGGCUCACCACAUCUGCUGAGGCAGGCAGGGCCUCGCUGCAGCACAGAAUGAUCCCAUGGCCCUCAAGGCCUGCUGUCAGCGGAAAAUUCACUGAUCCGUGAGCCCUCUGCCUCCCUCCUCCUUUGAAAGAGCGGUGGCCUGGCCCGCUUCUAAAAGCCCUGGGGCUCCUGCAAGCCGACACCGCUUUCCAGGACACGUGCAGACAGGGACGGGGCGAAUCCCAGGUGGAGACAAUGCGAUCACGCCUGGCACUGGCGUAUACCAGAGCAGAUGGCGUGAAUGUAUGUCACCGGAGGCAUGUGGGGCGAGGGCGAAAGCAACAGUGGUGCCCAGGCAUGCGCCCGGUAGAAAGGGGAUCAAGUGGCCUUUCCCUGAGUGCCAAGGGAACACAAAGAAGACCUGGGAACCUGGACGGGGCUUGUGCCUCAGCCAAGCCACAUGUUGAAAUGCCUGCCAGAGGACCACAGAGGUUUCUGCAACAGUCACCCCACCCCCAACCCUCCACCACCCAGCUAGCCCUGACGCAACCUCCCCUGCACGCAGCCCCAGCCCCAGUCCCAGCGCAGUCCCUUUGUUUCCUGACAUUCGUUACAGCCAAAAGAUCCAGGGAGUCUGUCCACCUGUGAGCGGAGGAGAGGAUGUCCCUCAAGAGUGAGACAGGAAGCGCAGGGGAAAUGCACUUGUCCUAGAAGACAAGGCCAGUCUCGCCGGCCUAGCGCUCGCUCAUCCUAGGCAAUCCACCCACCCAUGAGGUGAAACACGGAGACCGAGGAAGCUUCCCUGUCUGAGACACGUAUGGAAGCCAAGAAUUCGUCGAAAUUCACUGAUCCGUGAGCCCUCUGCCUCCCUCCUCCUUUGAAAGAGCGGUGGCCUGGCCCGCUUCUAAAAGCCCUGGGGCUCCUGCAAGCCGACACCGCUUUCCAGGACACGUGCAGACAGGGACGGGGCGAAUCCCAGGUGGAGACAAUGCGAUCACGCCUGGCACUGGCGUAUACCAGAGCAGAUGGCGUGAAUGUAUGUCACCGGAGGCAUGUGGGGCGAGGGCGAAAGCAACAGUGGUGCCCAGGCAUGCGCCCGGUAGAAAGGGGAUCAAGUGGCCUUUCCCUGAGUGCCAAGGGAACACAAAGAAGACCUGGGAACCUGGACGGGGCUUGUGCCUCAGCCAAGCCACAUGUUGAAAUGCCUGCCAGAGGACCACAGAGGUUUCUGCAACAGUCACCCCACCCCCAACCCUCCACCACCCAGCUAGCCCUGACGCAACCUCCCCUGCACGCAGCCCCAGCCCCAGUCCCAGCGCAGUCCCUUUGUUUCCUGACAUUCGUUACAGCCAAAAGAUCCAGGGAGUCUGUCCACCUGUGAGCGGAGGAGAGGAUGUCCCUCAAGAGUGAGACAGGAAGCGCAGGGGAAAUGCACUUGUCCUAGAAGACAAGGCCAGUCUCGCCGGCCUAGCGCUCGCUCAUCCUAGGCAAUCCACCCACCCAUGAGGUGAAACACGGAGACCGAGGAAGCUUCCCUGUCUGAGACACGUAUGGAAGCCAAGAGCCCCAGGGUCAUCAGACCUGCGCAAUCCAGCAGAAACAGGCUUGGAGAGAGAAACAGUCAUGACACGGAUCUCCAGGAAGUGUCUCCCUGAUGGACGGGGAAGUGAUCUUCGUAGAAGAUAUUCAGCCAGACCGAGAGGCAUCUAGGCCGCUCAGAAACAGGGGAGACAGAGCAAGAGGACAGUCCUACCGCGGUGCCCGAGAACACACGCCCCCAGGCAACCCCUGCGGCUGCCGGGUUCUGCUCUGGAGGGGAACAACCCUCGGCUGAGAGAACAGCCCUCGGGCACGCAGGCGGACCUGUCCUCGAGAUCACGGGGGCACGACUUCUCGGGAGACUCACCCGAACACCGUCCUGGCAGGCCUGAGGCUGGGAUGCCACGCUGCUUCCCCCGGACUCCGCCUGUGGUUUCCUCAUCCUGCUCGGCCCCU